GGCCCACCAGCUAAUCUCCUCCUUCGACGCCGCAGGUAGCUGAACACUAAUUUCACCGUCUUCUUCGUAAGACACCACCAAGUAAACGAUUCAUGAUUUAUGCUGAAGCCAUAAACUCAGCCUUUAAUUUCAGUAAUUUCUCUCCUACUAACUUCUUAUUUCACUAGAACCUUCGAUCUCUUCGGAUUCUUCAAGAUUUGGAUCCUAUAAAUGCGUUAAAUCUCAUUUAUGGACUAUCCUUCGGCUUCGUCGAUUGGGCUUGGAUAAGAGAAACCCUGAGAUAGCCGAGACACCACCACAAUGGAGAGCGGCAAAAUUGUCGGAAUCUGAGAUUACGACGUUGAGACGAAGCGAGAGAAGCCGUGGUCGUUGCUCUCUCAACUACUCGCCGAUCCGAUUCUCGCUGACGUUCCGAGGAGCCCAACACUGUCGGAUGUCAUCACUCUCGUCAGCCUUGAAAAAGGAAGCGCUAUGCCACUCUCCAUCGUCAAACUCGACGGCUCCUCCUUAGAUAGUAUGUGGCGGUUAUGAAUUCAGCUACGUUGAAGGAUCCGAAGAUUUUUGAUCAAGAAGAGAGUGAAUGAGAUGGAGCAAGCAAACAUGGGUCAUCGCCACAUUUCUUGAUCGCAUCUGUUCCAUAUGUGAUGAAUAAGGGUCCGGGAAGACACUCGAAGAGGAAGAAGCAUCAUCUCUUUCGCUCACUCAACAAGAUUUGUUAGAUAGUAGUGGCCCUAAGAGCAGUGUCGUCAACCAUGGUGUGUGUGAUGCUAAUAGUGUUGUGGAAGGUGAAAGAGGUGAGGCCACUGAACCAAGUAACAGCUCUGAUGAUAGGAGGAACACGAGCGAGGUUGCACCACAGAAGGAAGUUGUGUCCUUUGGAAAAAGGCACAUAAUGACUAAUAAUUACAGAAUUAUCACACACCCAUCACAAAAAGUAUAACCAGACGUUGCUUAUGGUUUCAUUCCAUAUGCAUAAUAAUUGCAGUUAAGAGAAAGAGGUCAAGAGAUUCAUCACGAGUGUCGAAUUUAUAAU